CAAGAGACGAACAGUUAGUGCUGAUUUUCAUUUGCAUAAAUUUUCAUAUAUUUUAGUGAAAAUAAUAGCGGGAGCCGAGGAGCGCUCCUGCUCAGUCGAGGCAGAGGAAAGAAAAUCUCAGGGAGCAGCGUGUCGCGGGGAAGGGAGAUAACCAUUUACACGCUCCGUGGGAACAAACUGAAGCAAUUUCCUUCCUUCUUGGACACAAGGAGACCUCACUAACUUUGGUUCCCAUUGCUCCUCAUUCCCCUUGAUGAACCUCUGGGGACUUUAAAGGAUCUGAACCCGAACCGAACAAAGAGACAAAGGCAAGCUCCAUAUUUAAUUCGGUAUAUUAGUUGCAGUCACACUUCAGUGCAAAGAGCGAAUCUGUAAAUCUGGAGCAGAUUUAACUCCCUUAAACCACAGAUCAUCUACAAAAUGUUGAUUUUUCACAAGACAGUUAGCAUGAUGUUUCUUUGCAUUGUCCUCAGCGUGAAAAAUCUGUUUUGUGUUUUUGCAAGUGUGCAAUAAAAACAAGGAAGCAGAAGACAAGCUCUGUGUCUGUUUUGUGCUCCCAGAAGUGCCUUACUUAGUAAGAAGAGGGUUCGUGUCUCUUCUCCUUCCUCUCUGUGUCCUGAUUUACCCUUGUGGCUGGGACAAGCAUCCCUUUGAGGACGCACAAACAGACGGACAGACGGAAAGGGUCUCAACAGUGACCAGCGCCUUUUCAUCCCAGCACCAACCAAACCAAAAGCCAAAACAGGGGAGCAAAAAAUAAAAUAAAAUAAUAAAUUCUGCUUUUCCUUACUGUCAAACUCCUGUAAAUACCUUUUUUUUUUUUUCGUGUGUUUGCAAAUACAAAUGCCAGAAAGCUGACAAGAGCAGCGAGACAGCGGCAGGAACAAAAAAAAAAGAAACCCUACGGAGACAUGGAUAUAAAAAUAUCUCACCCGAAAGAGAAAAAGAGGGAAGAAAAAGCUGGAGUUCACCAGCAGAGAUUUGGCUGGUUUUGUCACAGCAGCGUAAAAAACUUAAAAACAUGUUUCACAGUAGCACAGUGAAGUUAGUUUCUUUAAAAAAAAAACAGAUCAAAAGAUUAGGCUGAAAUGGAAAAAAAAAGUAAGUGUAAAAAAAUAACUAAGUACACUUUAUGUAUUUCACACAGAAGGUGGUGUGGCACUCUUAACACAAUUCCAGUUUGGAAAGACAUUAGCAAUGACAACCGAUUAAACGUGAGAGUUUUGGGGAAAUAGAUUUAAAUUAACCAACUUAUUUUUUUCUUGCGGUGGGAAAAUAGCAGGUGUGAGUUAUCACAAUGCUGAGUUAGAAAUACAUUAGCAAUUAUUCAUGCGUAAAUAACUUUUGAUAGAAAAUUGGGGAGGAAAAGAGUAAGAGCUAUAAUUUCCAAAAAAUUGCAGUUUGUAAUGGA